ACACUCGGCGCUACACCCUUGAAGGGAACAGACUUAUGUAUGAUAUCUGCAUGUAAUAUAUGUAGCUGAAUACUUGGCAGUGCUUGGUUUUUCGUAUAUUUAUCAGUUAUUUGAGAAUAUUAAAAGUAUAGUCACCCUGUAUGACUGUGUCAGUUAUAAUUUCUCUACCGACCUGGACUACAAAUGGCGCCCACGUUAUUCUGAAAACCAAGCACCAGAGCCAUGAAACAGAUCCUAUAGAAGACCCGGGGAAACGGAUUGGGGAAACCGAGAGGGAACGGACCGAAAGAGAAGUCCUUCGUUUUCAGUUCCAAAUCCUUAUACAAAGAUAUAAAUAGGCCUAUACAACCAGAAGAACGAGUGAUCUGUGAGUGUAAAAUUGUUUCCAAAUUGGAGAAAUUUGUGUAUAUUGUGGAAAAAGUGGUGUUUCGUGAUUGUGAAGUUCAUGGGCGGAUCCCCGAGAGGCGAAUCCCAAAUUCCGGAACCGUGACGUCACAUUGCGCGAACCGACGAAUGAAGCAAUGGCGGAAUGAAGCGUGACUCGAAAACAGGAAACAAGGCGAACAAAGCGAGUAGUGAAGUAAAGAGAGGAAGGUACUGUAAAUAUAUCUACAGAAAAACUGUUUAAUUGUAUGUGUAAAUGUACAAGUUUUGAAUGCGAAUGUCUUUGUCGAUUGUAAAACUGUGAUGCGGUAAAAAGGGAAUUCCCAUAAUCUAUUUAUAGUCAGCUGGCUGUGACAGUUUUGUUUACAUUUGUUAG
rnacentral:sRNA from 1 species